rnacentral:tRNA from 1 species
AAAAGUUUAGUUAAAUUAUAACAUUAACUUGUCAAGUUAAAAUUAUUUAUUAAAAUAACUUUUA